CAUGUGAUAAGAUCGUCUCCCUGCCUACUUCAUGCUGGGGUAACCCUGUGUCUCAAGAAAUGGCUGCGUCCCCACAGGGGUCCCCAGCUGGCCUCAGACAUCCCCAGGGCUCAGGUUAAAAUACAUGUACCCUUUCUUGGUGAACAUCAGAGAACUGCAAUAGUAAGAUCCUGUUAAUCGAACACACAUUCCACAGGGACCCCACCUUCAGCAAGCUUCAACACAGAGCAGGAGGUGGCAUCACCCUGGCUGGCACAGGGCACCUUCCCGGCCCCGAGUUAACACUGCACACAGGGGUGGCAGGAACAGGCCUGCACUCGGGAAUUCUUCUCCUGGAGCGUGGUUUCAGACUUUCAGCACCUGAUGGACAGGAGGAGUAAAUGCUCCGCGCCUCCAGCUUACAAGUGACAAGAUCUACCACCCAAUCGCUACCAAAAGCCCCUACCAAAACCCCGGAGGAGCUCAGAAGAGGAACGUCGGUAAAGGGCUGCUUGGCAGAGAAGGAACU